rnacentral:rRNA from 1 species
UACGUAGGGUGCGAGCGUUAAUCGGAAUUACUGGGCGUAAAGCGUGCGCAGGCGGUUUUGUAAGCCAGGUGUGAAAUCCCCGGGCUCAACCUGGGAAUGGCAUUUGGGACUGCAAGGCUGGAGUGUGGCAGAGGAGACUGGAAUUCCUGGUGUAGCAGUGAAAUGCGUAGAGAUCGGAAAGAACACCAACGGCGAAAGCACUCUGCUGGGCCGACACUGACACUGAGAGACGAAAGCUAGGGGAGCAAAUGGG